rnacentral:rRNA from 1 species
ACAAAUUUUUGCCCUACUAUUACUGUCUUCACCGAUAUCCCCCCUGGGACCUUCAUUCCGUUUCUGACCUACCAGCUCUGGACGGGGGGGCUAGACCUACCGUGGGAAGGACGGGGAAGGAUGAAUUAGGGUUUGGUCCGGAGCGGGAGCCUGGUAAACGGCUACCACAUCUAAGGAAGGCAGCAGGCGCGCAAAUUACCCAAUCCUAAUACAGGGAGGGAGGGACAAGAAAUAACAAUACCGGACUUUUUGGUUUUGUAAUUGGAAUGAGUCAAGUAUAAACCCCUUUACAAGUAUCAAUUGGAGGGCAAGUCUGGUGCCAGCAGCCGCGGUAAUUCCAGCUCCAAUAGCGUAUAUUAAAGUUGUUGCAGUUAAAAAGCUCGCAGUUGGAUCUCUGCCAAUAAUUUAUAUAAAAUAUUUUCAUGAAUCUUUAUAUAAUAUUAACAUAGUUCAUAUUACUAUAUAUUUUAGUAUAUGAAAUUUUACUUUGAGAAAAUUGGAGUGCUUAAAGCCGGCAUAUGCCUUCAAUCCUCCAGUAUGGAAUAAUAUUAAAGAUUUUUAUCUUUCUUAUUGGUUCUGACAAAGGAAUAAUCAUUAAGAGGGACCUUUGGGCGCAUCUGUAUUCUUAUCAACGUUCCUCCCACAGCUUCUUACGCCGGAUGCGUGAUGCUUUCCCCAGAUGCUUUGUUAAUCUAAACAAGUUAGCUCCUCUGAUACGUUCAGACCCGUUUAUCCUUAUCCUUCUCCUAUGCCAAUCAGACACGGGGCGUUCUCUUGACCCCACCCCACCUCAUACUACGGGCGGGUAGAU